AUUGGAGGGUUCUGUUGUGGUUUUAAUAAUGUGGAGAGUAUCAAUAAUUUUAUAUCGGUUGUGAGUCAAAAAAACUGAAGGGUUCUGUUGUAGUUCUAAUAAUAUGGAGGGCACCAAUAAUUUUAUAUCGAUUGUGAGUCAAAAAAGAUUUACGUUUAUAUGUGAGGUAUUUUUUAAAAAAUAAAAUUAUAAAAUUUAUGAGUCAAAAUAGAUAAUA
rnacentral:lncRNA from 1 species